AAUACCGCAUGAGCCUCUUUUGUCGCAUGAGGAGAGAGGGAAAGAGAAAUCGGUGAGAGAUGGAUCCGCGUCCGAUUAGCUAGUUGGAGGGGUAACAGCCCACCAAGGCGACGAUCGGUAGCCGACCUGAGAGGGUGGACGGCCACAUUGGGACUGAGACUCGGCCCAAACUCCUACGGGAGGCAGCAGUGGGGAAUAUUGCACAAUGGGGGAAACCCUGAUGCAGCAACGCCGCGUGAGUGAGGAAGUAUUUCGGUAUGUAAAGCUCUAUCAGCAGGGAAUAGAAAAGAAGGUACCUGAAAAAGAAGCCCCGGCUAACUACGUGCCAGCAGCCGCGGUAAUACGUAGGGGGCAAGCGUUAUCCGGAUUUACUGGGUGUAAAGGGAGCGUAGACGGAAAGGCAAGUCAGAAGUGAAAGCCCAAGGCUCAACCAUGGGACUGCUUUUGAAACUGUCAAACUAGAGUACGGGAGAGGUAAGAGGAAUUCCUAGUGUAGCGGUGAAAUGCGUAGAUAUUAGGAGGAACACCAGUGGCGAAGGCGUCUUACUGGACCGAAACUGACGUUGAGGCUCGAAAGCGUGGGGAGCAAACAGGAUUAGAUACCCUGGUAGUCCACGCGGUAAACGAUGAAUGCUAGGUGUUGGGGUAAAGAAACCUCGGUGCCGCAGC
rnacentral:rRNA from 1 species